rnacentral:rRNA from 1 species
UACGUAGGGUGCAAGCGUUUAAUCGGAAUUACUGGGCGUAAAGCGUGCGCAGGCGGUUUUGUAAGUCUGUCGUGAAAUCCCCGGGCUCAACCUGGGAAUUGCGAUGGAGACUGCAAGGCUAGAAUCUGGCAGAGGGGGGUAGAAUUCCACGUGUAGCAGUGAAAUGCGUAGAGAUGUGGAGGAACACCGAUGGCGAAGGCAGCCCCCCUGGGUCAAGAUUGACGCUCAUGCACGAAAGCGUGGGGGAGCAAACAGG